rnacentral:rRNA from 1 species
CUGCUGCCUCCCGUAGGAGUCUGGGCCGUGUCUCAGUCCCAAUGUGGCCGUCCACCCUCUCAGGCCGGCUACUGAUCGUCGCCUUGGUAGGCCGUUACCCUGCCAACCAGCUAAUCAGACGCGGGCCCAUCUCGCACCACCUGGGUUUUCAGGGCAGGGGCAUGCGCCCCCGCCCGCUAUGCGGUGUUAGCACCUAUUUCUAAGUGUUAUCCCCCAGUGCGAGGCAGGUUGCCCACGCGUUACUCACCCGUCCGCCACG